rnacentral:rRNA from 1 species
CCUACGGGUGGCAGCAGUGGGGAAUAUUGGGCAAUGGGCGCAAGCCUGACCCAGCAACGCCGCGUGAAGGAAGACGGCUUUCGGGUUGUAAACUUCUUUUGACAGGGAAGAGCAGAAGACGGUACCUGUCGAAUAAGCCACGGCUAACUACGUGGCAGCAGCCGCGGUAAUACGGAGGUGGCAAGCGUUGUCCGGAUUUACUGGGUGUAAAGGGCGUGUAGCCGGGAUGACAAGUCAGAGGUGAAAUCCGGGGGCUCAACCCCCGAACUGCAUUUUAUACUGUUGGUCUUGAGUAUCGUAGAGGCAGGCGGAAUGCAUGGUGUAGCGGUGAAAUGCGUAGAUAUUAGGAGGAACACCAGUGGCGAAGGCGGCCUGCUGAACGACAACUGACGGUGAGGCGCGAAAGCGUGGGGAGCAAACAGGAUUAGAUACCCUAGUAGUC